GCUGACCGAGCGAUACCGCUUGAAGGAUGAAGCCCUUCGGGGUGUAAACUUCUGAACUCGGGACAAUGAUGACGGUACCGAGGUAAUAGCACCGGCUAACUCCC
rnacentral:rRNA from 1 species